rnacentral:rRNA from 1 species
AACGAACGCUGGCGGCAGGCUUAACACAUGCAAGUCGAACGGUGUAGCAAUACACAGUGGCAGACGGGUGAGGAACACGUGGGAACAUCCCUUUCGGUUCGGAAUAACGUUGGGAAACUAACGCUAAUACCGGAUACGUCCUUCGGGAGAAAGAUUUAUUGCCGAGAGAUUGGCCCGCGUCUGAUUAGCUAGUUGGUGUGGUAACGGCUCACCAAGGCUACGAUCAGUAGCUGAUCUGAGAGGAUGAUCAGCCACAUUGGGACUGAGACACGGCCCAAACUCCUACGGGAGGCAGCAGUGGGGAAUAUUGGACAAUGGGCGCAAGCCUGAUCCAGCCAUGCCGCGUGAGUGAUGAAGGCCUUCGGGUUGUAAAGCUCUUUUGUCCGGGAAGAUAAUGACUGUACCGGAAGAAUAAGCCCCGGCAAACUUCGUGCCAGCAGCCGCCGUAA